UACGUAGGGUGCAAGCGUUGUCCGGAUUUAUUGGGCGUAAAGAGCGUGUAGGCGGCCAGGUAGGUCUGCUGUGAAAACUCGAGGCUCAACCUCGAGACGUCGGCGGAAACCAUCUGGCUAGAGUCCGGAAGAGGAGAGUGGAAUUCCUGGUGUAGCGGUGAAAUGCGCAGAUAUCAGGAAGAACACCCGUGGCGAAGGCGGCUCUCUGGGACGGUACUGACGCUGAGGAGCGAAAGCGUGGGGAGCGAACAGG
rnacentral:rRNA from 1 species